rnacentral:lncRNA from 1 species
CAGUAAUGUAUGUAAUCGAAAAUGAUUGAGAGGAAAUCAUUGAUGAAGUUGAUGAAGUGGUUUCAGAGAUCGGAGAUCUCUAGUAAAUAUUUUCCGACAUUAUGUCAGGACGAUGAGAAAGAUUAUAAUACAACUUGUAAUUGUUUGCUGUUUGUUCGGUCAUGAAAUCCAGCGAGCUGGAGAUGUCGGUAUCUGAAUGAUAAAAAUAUUUUUUUCACUGUUCUGUUGUUGAACUACGUAUUUCUUAUUCAGAAUAUAGAAAGCAAACAAAUAGCAAUGUUUUUCCGAGACAAUUGAUCAUGCAUCACAUUUCCUACCAGGUAUAUACUCUUUUCUGAGAUCUUCAGUUCUAGGCACCACUUGAGCUAUGAGUGCGGGACUAGAAUGUCCGCUUCUCUAUAAUCGACCCCGUGGUGCAUAAAUUUGUCAAUCGCUUUCUUGACGACCAUUAAAUUGGUCCUUCGUUCUCCUUUUUUUUUGGCUUUUUUGUUUAUUUUCAACUGCUUUUAUGUUCAUCUGGCAUUAGGCCUUUCUCAUAUAGGCAUUAGGCCUUUCUCAUAUAUAUUUUUUUCAGUUAUCCACCCAACAGACAUAAUUGCA